GGAAUAUUGGUCAAUGGGCGAGAGCCUGAACCAGCCAAGUAGCGUGAAGGAUGACUGCCCUAUGGGUUGUAAACUUCUUUUAUAAAGGAAUGAAGUCGGGUAUGCAUACCCGUUUGCAUGUAAUUUAUGACUAAGGAUCGGCUAACUCAGUGCCAGCAGCCGCGGUAAUACGGAGGAUCCGAGCGUUAUCCGGAUUUAUUGGGGUUAAAGGGAGCGUAGAUGGAUGUUUAAGUCAGUUGUGAAAGUUUGCGGCUCAACCGUAAAAUUGCAGUUGAUACUGGAUAUCUUGAGUGCAGUUGAGGCAGGCGGAAUUCGUGGUGUAGCGGUGAAAUGCUUAGAUAUCACGAAGAACUCCGAUUGCGAAGGCAGCCUGCUAAGCUGCAACUGACAUUGAGGCUCGAAAGUGUGGGUAUCAAAC
rnacentral:rRNA from 1 species